rnacentral:rRNA from 1 species
GNGAGGGGUUUUGCGCAAUGGGGGANACCUGNCGCAGCAACGCCGCGUGAGUGAAGAAGGCCUUUGGGUCGUAAAGCUCUGUCAACAGGGAAGAAGUUAUCACGCACGAACAGUGUGUGGUAUUGACGGUACCUGUGGAGGAAGCACCGGCUAACUCCGUGCCAGCAGCCGCGGUAACACGGGGGGUGCAAGCGUUAUUCGGAAUUAUUGGGCGUAAAGGGCGCGCAGGCGGUCUUGCCGGUCAGGUGUGAAAGCCCGGGGCUCAACCCCGGAAGAGCAUUUGGAACAGCAAGACUUGAGUACAGGAGAGGAAAGCGGAAUUCCUGGUGUAGAGGUGAAAUUCGUAGAUAUCAGGAGGAACACUCAUGGCGAAGGCAGCUUUCUGGACUGAUACUGACGCUGAGGCGCGAAGGUGUGGGUAGCGAACAGGAUUAGAUACCCUGGUAGUCCACACAGUAAACGAUGUUCACUAGGUGUAGCGGAUGUUAAAAUCUGCUGNGCCGNANNCAACGCAUUAAGNGNACCGNCUG